CAUAAACCAAAACCUAGAGUUAGAUUCAAGCUCAAACUAAAUAUGGUUUAACUAUUGUACAAUAGUGGGAAAUUCACUGGCUUAUCAUAUGAGGAUCCUCAAGUCCAUCUAUAGAACCUCUUAAAGAUCAGUGAUACUUUUAUCCCCACUAAAAUCUCUACGUGCAACAUAAGAUUCACUCUUUUUCCUUUCUCACUUUUGGGGGAAUCAAAG
rnacentral:lncRNA from 1 species